rnacentral:rRNA from 1 species
AAUAUUGCGCAAUGGAGGGAACUCUGACGCAGCGACGCCGCGUGAGCGAUGAAGGUCUUCGGAUCGUAAAGCUCUGUCCUUGGGGAAGAAGGUCUUCGGACUUGACGGUACCUAAGGAGGAAGCCCCGGCUAACUACGUGCCAGCAGCCGCGGUAACACGUAGGGGGCGAGCGUUGUCCGGAAUUACUGGGCGUAAAGGGCGCGUAGGCGGUAGGUUAAGUCGGAUGUGAAAGUCCAUGGCUCAACCAUGGAAUUGCAUAUGAAACUGAUCUACUUGAGUUCAGGAGAGGAGAGCGGAACUCCUAGUGUAGCGAUGAAAUGCGUAGAGAUUAGGAAGAACACCAGUGGCGAAGGCGGCUCUCUGGACUGUAACUGACGCUGAGGCGCGAAAGCGUGGGUAGCGAAC